GGUCACCACCUCUCCCUCGAGUCUGGGAUGACCCCAGUGCACUGGAGCAAUAAAUUCCUCUUGCUUUUUGCAUCGAUCCUGGCUCCACGUGGUUCAAUCGGGAGAUCCCAGGUAAGCUAAGGCUCCCCAGAGUCUUACAAAGGUUAUUCUUUGUCCCUAGUUACAAGGAACUUGGGAAAUUAGCUCCUUCUAGAUGGAAAAAACCUAAGCACAACUGAGGCUUUAUUAUGAAAGGAAAAGAAGAUAUUAACAAGAGGAAAGCAAGAAACAAAGCUUGCCCAUUCCACUGGUCCUCAGAGGAGGCUGGAACUUUACCCUUGAAAGGAGCAUAGAAUCUCAGAAUGAAAACAGAGCUGACCAAGCCAAGUCAGUCAGUUAACAGGUUCUCCAGGGUAGAAGCAAGGAUUAAAAGGGGGAAAAAAGACAAUUAGACAGCAUUAUAACAUGACCCCAGCCAGUUCUGAGGCUGAAGCAAGUUUAUUUUUUUUUCAGUCUGCUUUUAUACCACUUUAAGUACAUGCAAAAUGAUAAGAUCAGUUCUGGGUCAAGGAACAAGCAAAGAAAUAAACAAAAUCAGGUAAACAGCUUUCUAGGGGCUAGUCAGGAUUACUAAAACAAAAGCACUGCCACCCCAGCCUUGCUGAGCCCACUCUGAGCUUUGCAUUAACUCAAAUGUAAAUGUUCUUAAUUCGGGCCUAUUUCCUGAGGCCUGGACCAAAGUCAGAUUCCCUUCUUGAGUUUACUUCUUUUGUCCUGACCCGAAGUCAAAUUCCCACCAAGUGUCUAGAAGGGGCCCCAAAAACUCUCCAUAUUAUCAGUGGCUCAGCCCAAUUGCUGCCUAAUGAAGGACUGACAUCUACACCUUAUUUAACCAUGGGUCAUCCAGACACUGUCCUACACAGAUGAAGUAUCAAUAGCUGGAUUUUGACUAUAAGAUGCAAGAAAGUAGGACGUGGUACUUCAAUAAUAUGGCUUUCAGAACUGAAGUCAAUAGUCAAAAAGCCUAUCCUGUUACCAUAGGGCCUGUAAUCCUAGCUACUCAAGAAGCUGAGGAGAAACAUUAAAAGUUCAGAGGCCUACCAGAGCCACAGAAUGAGCUCAGUACCAGCAUGGGCAACACAAAGAAAUGCUGACUCAAACUAAAAUUCAGGAAAAAAUAAAUAAAUAAAGCUAGGAUGUAGCUAAGAGGUGGAGUACUUCCCUAGCACAUGGCAGGCCCCAGUUUAACCCCAAGCACUUGAAGGAAGGCGAGAAAGAGGAGGAAGAGAAGGAGGAGGAAAUAAAAUCAGUAACAGUCCAGCUAGAUCACAAAGGACGUUUACAGAACCAAAGUUAAGAAAUGAAACAUGAAGAAUUCAGUGAGUUCUAGUCACACACUAUAAAGAUUUCUAUCUUCCUGAAUCCAAGCAUAAAUUAAUCGGUGUGUGUAUGUGUGUUUUGAAAGAGAAUCUCAUUUGUUAUUUUUAAUAAAUCAAUUAAAAAUCCUUCCAAUUUC
rnacentral:lncRNA from 1 species